rnacentral:rRNA from 1 species
UACGGAGGGUGCGAGCGUUAAUCGGAAUAACUGGGCGUAAAGGGCACGCAGGCGGUUGUUUAAGUGAGAUGUGAAAUCCCCGAGCUUAACUUGGGAACUGCAUCUCAGACUGGACAACUAGAGUACUUUAGGGAGGGGUAGAAUUCCACGUGUAGCGGUGAAAUGCGUAGAGAUGUGGAGGAAUACCGAAGGCGAAGGCAGCCCCUUGGGAAGAUACUGACGCUCAUGUGCGAAAGCGUGGGGAGCAAACA